rnacentral:tRNA from 1 species
UGGGGAUGUAGCUCAAAUGGUAGAGCGCUCGCUUUGCAUGCGAGAGGUAUGGGGUUCGAUCCCCCGCAUUUCCAA